rnacentral:rRNA from 1 species
UACGUAGGGGGCAAGCGUUGUCCGGAUUUAUUGGGCGUAAAGAGCGUGUAGGCGGUUUGGUAGGUCCGUUGUGAAAACUCGAGGCUCAACCUCGAGACGCCGGCGGAAACCAUCAGGCUAGAGUCCGGAAGAGGAGAGUGGAAUUCCCGGUGUAGCGGUGAAAUGCGCAGAUAUCGGGAGGAACACCGGUGGCGAAGGCGGCAUCCUGGACCAACACUGACACUGAGGAGCGAAAGCCAGGGGAGCAAACGGG